CACCUUCCCCAUACCAUGUACCUCCCAGCAGGAUCCAUCAACCUGCUCUAACCCAACUUUCUGGGCACACUCUUUACUAAGGAUUGUCUCUUACAUAAACAACCUGGUAAGCAGGGUUUACCCACAUGCCCACAGAGCCAGAGGUGGCAUUCACAGAGCAUGCAGGUAAUGGGCCUCAAGUCAGCCUCAGGGAGGGAGUGCUCCAUGAUGAGGGACAGUGUGGUGGGACACAACAUGUGCAUAACUGGGAGAACAGUGACUGAUGCACCACAGCACACAGCAUGCAGGUAAUGGGCCUCAAGUCAGCCUCAGGGAGGGAGUGCUCCAUGAUGAGGGACAGUGUGGUGGGACACAACAUGUGCAUAACUGGGAGAACAGUGACUGAUGCACCACAGCAAUGACGGCUCCC